rnacentral:rRNA from 1 species
CCUACGGGAGGCUGCAGUGGGGAAUUUUGCGCAAUGCUCGUAAGAGUGACGCAGCGACGCCGCGUGAAUGACGAAGGCCUUCGGGUCGUAAAGUUCUUUCGACAGGGAAGAAAAUGCCUAUAAGUAACUGUGUAUGUAUUGACGGUACCUGUAUAAGCAGCCCCGGCUAACUCCGUGCCAGCAGCCGCGGUAAUACGGAGGGGGCGAGCGUUGUUCGGAGGGACUGGGCGUAAAGGGCACGUAGGCGGUGUUGUAAGUCAUUAGUCAAAGACUAGAGCUCAACUUUAGUAAGGCUAGGGAUACUAUAAUACUAGAGUAUCAGAGAGGAUUGCAGAAUUCCUGGUGUAGCGGUGAAAUGCGUAGAUAUCAGGAGGAACACCGGCGGCGAAGGCGGCCUGCUGGACCGCGACUGACGUUGAGGCUCGAAAGCGUGGGGAGCGAACAGGAUUAGAUACCCGGGUAGUC